rnacentral:lncRNA from 1 species
CAACACGCAUAAAUAAAGGCAUUCCUGCAUAUCAGCGACAAAUCUUCUGAAAUGGAAAUGAGGACAACCACCCCAUUCACAAUAUCCUCAAAAAAAAAAUACUUGGGAAUCAACCUAACAAAAGAGGUGAAAGAUUUAUACAAUGAAAACUAUAGAACCCUAAAGAGAGAAAUAGAAGAAGAUCUUAGAAGAUGGAAAAAUAUACCCUGUUCAUGGAUAGGCAGAACUAACAUCAUCAAAAUGGCGAUAUUACCCAAAGUUCUCUAUAGGU